rnacentral:rRNA from 1 species
AACGAACGCUGGCGGCAUGCCUAACACAUGCAAGUCGAACGAGACCUUCGGGUCUAGUGGCGCACGGGUGCGUAACGCGUGGGAACCUGCCCUUAGGUUCGGAAUAACUCCCCGAAAGGGGUGCUAAUACCGGAUAAUGUCUUCGGACCAAAGAUUUAUCGCCUUUGGAUGGGCCCGCGUUGGAUUAGCUAGUUGGUAGGGUAAAAGCCUACCAAGGCGACGAUCCAUAGCUGGUCUGAGAGGAUGAUCAGCCACACUGGGACUGAGACACGGCCCAGACUCCUACGGGAGGCAGCAGUGGGGAAUUUUGGAAAAUGGGCGAAAGCCUGAUCCACCAAGGCCGGGUGAGUGAUGAAGGCCUUGGGUUUUUAAACCUCUUUUACCCGGGAUGAUAAUGACAGUCCCGGGAGAAUAAGCCCCGGCUAACUCCGU